AGUUAAUGAACUUGAAUAAGUAUAUAUUUUGAAAAUAUAAAAUAGAGUCUAAAUCUCUAUUAACUU
rnacentral:tRNA from 1 species